UAUAUAUAGCAAGGGUUGGCCGGCCAUGUGGUGUUUUAGGUGGUGUGAACCCAACUUAAUAAAGAUAAAUCUCAUUUUAACUAAGUCAAGUCAAGUGGGCAAGUGGGAGGAAAACACUUGAGUGUUUUUGAGAUAAAUUAGAUAGUAUAAACUCUUCCAACCCUCCCCAACCGACCACACCACUCUCUCACAUUCACUCAUCUGAUUUUUGAAGACCUCUCAAAGUGUUCUCUCCAUUUUUCAAGCCCAAGAACACCAAGGAAACUUUGAGGCUAAGUCUUGGUCUAGGAAGUAUUUUCCCUAAGUUUGUUAGGGUUUUUGAAAGGUUUUGAAGGAGUCAAAGCUUAUAGGAAGGUCCAAACCUUGAGCAAGAACACCAAAGAGUAUUGGCUAAGCGUAACUGGACUGAACGUUGGAGGGUGAAAACCUGCUGAGCGCUAAGGACUCCAAGUAAGUGCAAGGGCAAGGCAGAGCAGUGAGCGCUGGAGUCUUCCUUGCAAAUGUACAUGUAGACCGACCUUUUGGGAAGCCUUUUUAUUUUUUGGAAAUGUUGUGUAAUUUUCCUAAACUAGGCUCACUCUAAUCUUUAUAAAACAUGUUUGUAACUAAAUGUUAAGUAUGGCCAUACAACUUUUUAAAAAGUUUUUUUUUCUAUGGGUUUUUGAGACAUUUUGUUAAAUGAAAACAUUUAUAUUUCCGCAUUAUCGAGUCUUGAAAAUCCGGGUCGUUACACCUUGAUUAGUGUGCUGGGAGGGCAUAGCUGGAUUAUAUGUGAUUUAAUUAUUAAAAUCAUGUUAUAUGAUUACUUGGAUAUCUGUGAUGCAUG